AGUGGGAUAGCUGGGUCAAAUGGUGGUCACAUAUUCAUAUAUGGUGGUUCAAGUUUUUUGAGGAAUCUUCAUACUGCUUUCCAUAAUGGUUGCACCAAUUUGCAGUCCCACUAGCAAU
rnacentral:pre_miRNA from 1 species